rnacentral:lncRNA from 1 species
GAGGAAUCACGCGGUAUCCGUCACAGGGAGUGGAGCAGAAUCGUGGUCAUUAUAGCGAUCUGCCAGGGAGUGAUGGAGCCGCACGGAAUCCGUCGCAGGGGGUGGAGCAGUAUCGUGGCCGUUGCUGCGGCCCACCAGUAGGCCCAGUUCUGUCGGUCGGAGUUCGACUGGAGUGUCUGGCGGAGAGAGGUGGCUGGCCACCCAUCUGAGAAGAGCUCAGAGUCUGGCUCCCUUAGGAGUCCGGAUGAAAUUUAUCAGUAGUCAAAGUCGGGGAUGAAGUCUGGCUCCCGUAGGAGUCCGGACGGAGUUCCCCAUGGC